UCUUUUUUUUUUUUUUUUAAUUUCUCAUGAUUAUUUGGUUGGUGCUCUGCUUGUCAGUUCUGCUGGUCUCCUUUGAAUCUCUCACAUGGCUGUAGUCAGAUGGCAACUGAGGCUGGAAAUCUCCAGGAUGGCUUCACUCCUGUAUCUGACACCUCACUGGGCAUGUCUGGAAGGCCAAACUUAGCUGGAAUGCUGACGAGAUUCAUCUACCAUAUUGAAAGCAUAAGCCAAACAAUGUGGGACAUCUAAAGCUUGGGCCAAGUUUCUUCAACUCUUUUGAAGCAAAGAUAAAGGCAAUAGAAAGAAAAGGGCUUAAAAUAUUCUCCAGCCCCAGUGAAGCCUUGUGAUACCUGAAGUUCUAGCUGACAUCUUGGCUGAUUGCAUCCUCAUGAGAAACCCUGAGCCAGAACCACAUAACCAAGUAGGUCCCAGGAUUCCUGAUCCUUAGAAAG